AUAGCAAGGCAGCAACACAUAACAACACAGCAUGGAUGGAAACAACAUAACCUCUCUGGGACAUGUGGGACGCUAGCACACUAUUCAACAGCCAGUGAAAUAGCAGGGCAAAAACCUGAGAAGAUUCUGUACAGGAAGUACUCUCUCUGACCAUUCCUUGAGCUUCUUGGCUCUGUUUAUUGAAAACUUAGGAUCUUUGCUGUAACGUGACACUUCCAAAGGCUCCCAUAGGCUCUCAGAACCCGGGAAAAAGCUGAAUGAUGUAAUUCCAGCCCCUGGCUGAAAAACAUUAGCGCCUUUGGUAAGUGGUCUAUCAGAGGACCAUCAGACUGAGGCGCGUGCACGGGGCGACACCAUGUUUUUAUUUUCUCUCUCUUUGUACUAAAACACGAUUUCCCGGUCGGAAUAUUAUCGAUUUUUUACGAGAAAAAUGGCAUAAAAAUUGAUUUUAAACAGCGGUUGACAUGCUUCGAAGUACGGUAAUGGAAUAUUUAGAUUUUUUUUUGUCACGAAUUGCGCCAUGCUCGUGACCCUUAUUUACACUUCGGAUAGUGUCUUGAACGCACGAACAAAACGCAGCUGUUUGGUUAUAACAAUGGAUUAUUUUGGACCAAACCAACAUUUGUUAUUGAAGUAGCAGUCCUGGGAGUGCAUUCUGACGAAGAAAAUCAAAGAUUGGAAUGUCCACAGUGCAAGGUGUUCUACAUUGGACGGACAAAGAGACGCCUUCAAGAUCGCCUAGCGGAACACAAGUACGCCAUACGGGUAGGCAAUGAAGACUACCCCAUGGCAAGGCACUGCAAGUCCUUAAACCAUGGUAACCCUGCCUCCCUACAAGCUAUGGGUAUUGAUCAUAUCCCGGCCUUUAUUAGAAAAGGGGACCGUCUUAAACAGUUAAACCAAAUGGAAAGUUUUUGGAUUUACAAACUACAGGCCACUAAAUACCCAGGUUUAAAUGAAGAUAUGGAUUUCUCAUCCUUCCUGUAGGGUUGUGAUGGGUACAUUUGCUGUCAUCUAGUGGGUAUUUUGCUCAAUUGCCCUCAGCUAUGUUUAGACUCUUGUUGUUCAUGUUUUGCUGUGUUCUAGUGUACUAUGGAAUAUAUUGCUUUCUUAUUCUUGACACUUCUCCCAGACAUAUUUAAGGUUAGAACUACCUUUCUAAGUGUUCUGAUAAUUCUAGCUUGGAGUUACAUUUUUAUGAUAACAUAGCUACAGUAUUUCACUUUAAAGUGUGUAUACUAUUGCUUACUAGGUGUGUCCAAUCAAUUUUAACCACUCCCUCUUCAAAUUAGGGUUAAUUGGAAAAGCUGUUAAAAAGAGAACAUUGUUUUAUUUCUUUGUACUCCCUGAUGAAGGCCAUGCAGCCGAAAUGCGUCGGAUUUUAAAGAACAUUGUUUCUAUUGAACAUGCCAUACUAAUAAAG
rnacentral:lncRNA from 1 species